CAAAACUGGAAUCAGGGUCAAUAUUUGGACCAAACAAGAGGAUCGCUGUGGAAGAAAUGGGGAAGAAGUUGGAAGAGUACAGAAACAAUGCUGAGAUCGUCGGAAUAUCCAAACAAUGCAAAAAGGAGCAGAUACAAUUUCGGAUAGAGAUGUUAGCAGGUUAUCCAUUAAGGGAGGUUGCUGCAAGAUUUGUGAAAAAAAUCCGUGCAACAUGGUUAGUACUCGACAGGCACAUGAAGAAUGACCAAGGUACCUUAUAGAA